AGGACGAACGCUAGCGGCGUGCCUAAUGUAUGCAAGUCGAACGGCCCGCAAGGGUAGUGGCGAACGGUUGAGUAACACGUAGACAACCUGCCUCCAGGUGGGGGAUAACAGCUCGAAAGGGCUGCUAAUACCGCAUAUGGCGCCCCGUGGCAUCACGGGAGGGCUAAAGGAGCAAUUCGCCUGGAGAUGGGUCUGCGGCCUAUCAGCUAGUUGGUGGGUAACGCCUACCGAAGGCGACGACGGGUAGCUGGUCUGAGAGGAUGAUCAGCCAGACGGGACUGAGACACGGCCCGACUCCUUCGGGAGCAGCAAGUGAGGAUAUGACACGAAGUCGGGGAAACCUGAUGCGACGCGACGCCGGCGGUGGGUAGAGGUACGUCCGUUCGGUUAGUAAACC
rnacentral:rRNA from 1 species